GUACACGCUGUGACUAGCAUAUCAAUAAGCGGAGGAAAAGAAACUAACAAGGAUUCCCCUAGUAACGGCGAGUGAAGCGGGAAGAGCUCAAAUUUGAAAUCUUAAAGGGUUUCCCUUUACGAAUUGUAGUUUAAAGAAGUGUUUUCUGUUGAGGUUUUGGUAAAAGUUCUUUGGAAUAGGACAUCAUCGAGGGUGAGAAUCCCGUAUUUGACCUUUACUUUCAACUUUGUGAUACACUUUCAAAGAGUCGGAUUGUUUGGGAAUGCAGUCCAAAAUGGGUGGUAAAUUUCAUCUAAAGCUAAAUAUUGGCGAGAGACCGAUAGCGAACAAGGUACCGUGAGGGAAAGAUGAAAAGAACUUUGAAAAGAGAGUUAAACAGUACGUGAAAUUGUCAAAAGGGAAGCGUUUGACACCAGUGUUGUUUUUCUGAAAAUCAAUUAAAGAACUGUUUAUGCUAAGCUGUUUAGACUUUAUCAGCUAUCUGUUUAGUUUUGAGCUUUUCUUUAAUGCACUUUUCAGUUAACAAGUCAACAUCAAUUUCUUUUGCUGUAAAAAAGCUUGAGGAAGGUGGCUUGAGAUUCGUCUUAAGUGUUUAUAGCCUCUUGCCUAUGCAGUCGGAGAGAUUGAGGUCUGCAGCGUAGAUCCUUCGGGGCUAAAUGCAUUUGUGCUAAGUUAUAGCAUUUUAUAGACAACUUGUUGACUAUGAUUUGUCUUGUAGCUUACUCGCUUAUGUUAUUUUACCUACGCUUAGGAUGUUGACGCGCGUGUGUGCGUG
rnacentral:rRNA from 1 species